rnacentral:rRNA from 1 species
UUACCAGACUCCUACGGGAGGCAGCAGUGGGGAAUAUUGCACAAUGGGGGAAACCCUGAUGCAGCGACGCCGCGUGAGCGAUGAAGUCUUUCGGUAUGUAAAGCUCUAUCAGCAGGGAAGAAAAUGACGGUACCUGACUAAGAAGCCCCGGCUAACUACGUGCCAGCAGCCGCGGUACUACGUAGGGGGCAAGCGUUAUCCGGAUUUACUGGGUGUAAAGGGAGCGUAGACGGUCCUGCAAGCCAGAUGUGAAAGCCCGGGGCUCAACCCCGGGACUGCAUUUGGAACUGUAAGGCUAGAGUGUCGGAGAGGCAGGCGGAAUUCCUAGUGUAGCGGUGAAAUGCGUAGAUAUUAGGAGGAACACCAGUGGCGAGGGCGGCUUACUGGACUGUAACUGACGUUGAGGCUCGAAAGCGUGGGGAGCAAACAGGAUUAGAUCCCCCCGUA